rnacentral:siRNA from 1 species
CUAUGCCUGAAAACUAUUU